rnacentral:rRNA from 1 species
GAAGAGCGGCGGACGGGUGAGUAACGCGUGGGUAACCUGCCCUGUACACACGGAUAACAUACCGAAAGGUAUGCUAAUACGGGAUAAUGUACUUUUGUCGCAUGGCAGAAGUAUCAAAGCUCCGGCGGUACAGGAUGGACCCGCGUCUGAUUAGCUAGUUGGAGAGGUAAUGGCUCACCAAGGCAACGAUCAGUAGCCGACCUGAGAGGGUGAUCGGCCACAUUGGAACUGAGACACGGUCCAAACUCCUACGGGAGGCAGCAGUGGGGAAUAUUGCACAAUGGGCGAAAGCCUGAUGCAGCAACGCCGCGUGAGCGAUGAAGGCCUUCGGGUCGUAAAGCUCUGUCCUCAAGGAAGAUAAUGACGGUACUUGAGGAGGAAGCCCCGGCUAACUACGUGCCAGCAGCCGCGGUAAUACGUAGGGGGCUAGCGUUAUCCGGAAUUACUGGGCGUAAAGGGUGCGUAGGUGGUUUCUUAAGUCAGAGGUGAAAGGCUACGGCUCAACCGUAGUAAGCCUUUGAAACUGAGAAACUUGAGUGCAGGAGAGGAGAGUAGAAUUCCUAGUGUAGCGGUGAAAUGCGUAGAUAUUAGGAGGAAUACCAGUUGCGAAGGCGGCUCUCUGGACUGUAACUGACACUGAGGCACGAAAGCGUGGGGAGCAAACAGGAUUAGAUACCCUGGUAGUCCACGCCGUAAACGAUGAGUACUAGGUGUCGGGGGUUACCCCCCUCGGUGCCGCAGCUAACGCAUUAAGUACUCCGCCUGGGAAGUACGCUCGCAAGAGUGAAACUCAAAGGAAU